ACUCAAAGGAAUUGACGGGGGUCCGCACAAGCGGUGGAACAUGUGGUUUAAUUCGACACUACGCGAGGAACCUUACCUGGGUUUGACAUAUGUCUGACCGCUGCAGAGAUGUGGUUUUCUAGGCGUAAGUCUAGACAGAUAUACAGGUGCUGCAUGGCUGUCGUCAGCUCGUGUCGUGAGAUGUUGGGUUAAGUCCUUUAACGAGCGCAACUCUUGCCGCCAGUUGCUAUUCCGUAAGGAAGCACUCUGGUGGGACUGCCUGGGAAACCAGGAGGAAGGUGGGAAUGACGUCAAGUCAGCAUGGCCCUUAUGUCCAGGGCAACACACGUGUUACAAUGGCGAAUACAAAGGGUAGCGAACUCGCGAGAGUAAGCCAAUCCCAUAAAGUUCGUCUAAGUUCGGAUUGAGGUCUGCAACUCGACCUCAUGAAGUUGAAAUCGCUAGUAAUCGCGUAUCAGAACGGCGCGGUGAAUACGUUCUCGGACCUUGUACACACCGCCCGU
rnacentral:rRNA from 1 species